UACGGAGGAUCCAAGCGUUAUCCGGAUUCAUUGGGUUUAAAGGGUGCCUAGGCGGACUGAUAAGUCAGCGGUGAAAUCUCUCGGCUUAACCGAGAAACUGCCGUUGAUACUGUCAGUCUUGAGUACAGAUGAUGUGGGCGGAAUAUGACAUGUAGUGGUGAAAUACUUAGAUAUGUCAUAGAACACCGAUUGCGAAGGCAGCUCACAAAACUGUCACUGACGCUGAGGCACGAAAGCGUGGGGAUCAAACAGG
rnacentral:rRNA from 1 species